rnacentral:rRNA from 1 species
UACCAGCACCCCGAGUGGUCGGGACGAUUAUUGGGCCUAAAGCAUCCGUAGCCGGUCCUGCAAGUCUUCCGUUAAAUCCAGCUGCUCAACAGAUGAGCUGCGGGGGAUACUACAUGGCUAGGAGGCGGGAGAGGCAAGCGGUACUUUAUGGGUAGGGGUAAAAUCCGUUGAUCCAUAGAAGACCACCAGUGGCGAAGGCGGCUUGCCAGAACGCGCUCGACGGUGAGGGAUGAAAGCUGGGGGAGCAAACCGG